rnacentral:rRNA from 1 species
UACGUAGGGGGCGAGCGUUGUCCGGAAUCAUUGGGCGUAAAGCGCGCGUAGGUGGCCUCAUAAGUCCGCUGUGAAAGUCAAAGGCUCAACCUUUGAAAGCCGGUGGAUACUGUGAGGCUAGAGUACGGAAGAGGCGAGUGGAAUUCCUGGUGUAGCGGUGGAAUGCGCAGAUAUCAGGAGGAACACCAAUAGCGAAGGCAGCUCGCUGGGACGUUACUGACACUGAGGCGCGAAAGCGUGGGGAGCGAACAGG